AGAAGAUAUUAAGGGCGCACGGCGGAUGCCUUGGCACAGGAAGUCGAAGAAGGACGCGGCAAGCUGCGAUAAGCUUCGGGGAGGCGCAAACGGCCCUCGAUCCGAAGAUCUCCGAAUGGGGGAACCCAGCUGGGGUCAUGCCCAGCUACCCGCAUCUGAAUGAAAUAGGAUGCGAGGAGGCAACCCGGGGAACUGAAACAUCUAAGUACCCGGAGGAAGAGAAAUCAACCGAGAUUGCGCGAGUAGCGGCGAGCGAAAGCGCACCAGCCCAAACCCAUGCACGUGUAAGCGUAAGGGCGUUGCUGCAUGAGGUGUUGUGGGACC
rnacentral:rRNA from 1 species